rnacentral:rRNA from 1 species
AGAUUGGACGCUGGCGGCAUGCCUUACACAUGCAAGUCGAACGGCAGCACGGGAGCAAUCCUGGUGGCGAGUGGCGAACGGGUGAGUAAUACAUCGGAACGUGCCCAAUCGUGGGGGAUAACGCAGCGAAAGCUGUGCUAAUACCGCAUAAGAUCUACGGAUGAAAGCAGGGGAUCGCAAGACCUUGCGCGAAUGGAGCGGCCGAUGGCAGAUUAGGUAGUUGGUGAGGUAAGGCUCACCAAGCCUUCGAUCUGGUAGCUGGGUCUGGAGAGGACACCAGCCACACUGGGACUGAGACACGGCCAGCUCCGUACGGGAGGCAGGCAGGUGGGGGAAUUUUGGACUAAGUAGGGGUACGAAACG